UGAUAUGAUAUACGUUUCUUUGAUGAUUAUGUGAAUAUCUGUUAUGCCUUGAUAUGGGACUUGUCAGUAACUCCAUGCUAACGGAGAAUAGUUAGCCUGUGUGCACAUAGUAUUCUGUUACCUAGCUGGUGAGAGAGGCAUCAGCCUGUGGUGAUUGAUCAUCCCACAGUGGUCACCGACGGGUGUCAUCUGAUCUCUGACAUGUAAUCCACUACGUUAUGAUAAUAUGUUACGUUAUGAUAUUAUGUUUAGUAAGUAUAUGUAUAUGUAU
rnacentral:lncRNA from 1 species